GAGACAGCAGUAGCCGCGGUAAUACAGAGGGUGCGAGCGUUAAUCGGAUUUACUGGGCGUAAAGCGUGCGUAGGCGGCUUUUUAAGUCGGAUGUGAAAUCCCUGAGCUUAACUUAGGAAUUGCAUUCGAUACUGGGAAGCUAGAGUAUGGGAGAGGAUGGUAGAAUUCCAGGUGUAGCGGUGAAAUGCGUAGAGAUCUGGAGGAAUACCGAUGGCGAAGGCAGCCAUCUGGCCUAAUACUGACGCUGAGGUACGAAAGCAUGGGGAGCAAACAGGAUUAGAUACCCCAGUAGUCCCUGUCUCUUAUAA
rnacentral:rRNA from 1 species